rnacentral:rRNA from 1 species
UACGUAGGGGGCGAGCGUUGUCCGGAUUUAUUGGGCGUAAAGAGCGUGUAGGCGGCCAGGUAGGUCUGCUGUGAAAACUCGAGGCUCAACCUCGAGACGUCGGCGGAAACCAUCUGGCUAGAGUCCGGAAGAGGAGAGUGGAAUUCCUGGUGUAGCGGUGAAAUGCGCAGAUAUCAGGAAGAACACCCGUGGCGAAGGCGGCUCUCUGGGACGGUACUGACGCUGAGACGCGAAAGCGUGGGGAGCGAACAGGAUUAGAACUACCGUGUCA